rnacentral:rRNA from 1 species
UGACAGGAAUUCGCCCCUUAAGCCGGGCCGUAAUUCGCCGAUCCUGACACAGAGUAUGCAGAAAUUACGAUACAGGCUACAUUCUAGUCCUGUAUGAUGAGUACAAUUUACAUCUCUACGAUGAUCAUGAGGGCAGUCUGUGCAGCAGCGCGGUAAUCCAGCUCAUAGCGUAUAUUAAAGUUGUUGCAGUUAGAACGCUCGUAGUCGGAUUUCGGGGCAGUCCGACCCGGUCUGCCGAUGGGUAUGCACUGGCCCGGAGUGUCCUUUUUGCCGGAGACCGUGCCUACUCUUAACUGAGCGGGGGCGGGAGACGGCACUUUUACUUUGAAAAAAUCAGAGUGUUUCAAGCAGGCAGCUCGCUCUUGCAUGGAUUAGCAUGGGAUAAUGAAAUAGGACUUUGGUGCUAUUUUGUUGGUUUCGAACACCGAAGUAAUGAUGAGAAGGGACAGUCAGGGGCACUCGUAUUCCGCAGAGAGAGGUGAAAUUCUUAGACCCGCGGAAGACGAACCACUGCGAAAGCAUUUGCCAGGGAUGUUUUCACUGAUCAAGAACGAAAGUUAGGGGAUCGAAGAUGAUCAGAUACCGUCGUAGUCUUAACCAUAAACCAUGCCGACUAGGGAUUGGAGGAUGUUCACUGAUUGACUCCUUCAGCACCUUACGGGAAACUAAAGUCUUUGGGUUCCGGGGGGAGUAUGGUCGCAAGGCUGAAACUUAAAGGAAUUGACGGAAGGGCACCACCAGGUGUGGAGCCUGCGGCUUAAUUUGACUCAACACGGGGAAACUUACCAGGUCCAGACAUUGUGAGGAUUGACAGAUUGAGAGCUCUUUCUUGAUUCGAUGGGUGGUGGUGCAUGGCCGUUCUUAGUUGGUGGAGUGAUUUGUCUGGUUAAUUCCGUUAACGAACGAGACCUUAGCCUGCUAAAUAGUGACGCGAACUCUUUGUUGGCGGGCCACUUCUUAGAGGGACACUUGUCUUCACAAGUGGAGUUUGAGCAUAACAGGUCUGUGAUGCCCUUAGAUGUCUGGGCCGCACCGCGCCGCUACACUGAUGCACUCACGAGUCUUCUACCUCGACGAAAGUCCGGGCAAUCAUCGACUGCAUCGUGAUGGGGAUAGAAUAUGGCACUAUUUAUUCUUCACGAGGAUCUAGUAGGCCAUGUUCAUCACGCGCGUUGAAGGGCGAAUCCAGCCACACACUGGGGCGGCGCGGU